AUUGAACGCUGGCGGCAUGCUUUACACAUGCAAGUCGAACGGCAGCGGGGAGGAGCUUGCUUCUCUGCCGGCGAGUGGCGAACGGGUGAGGAAUACAUCGGAACGUGUCGAGAAGAGGGGGAUAACCACCCGAAAGGGUGGCUAAUACCGCAUAAAUUCUGAGGAAGAAAGCUGGGGACCUGGGAAUAGGCCUAGCGCUUUUUGAGCGGCCGAUGUCGGAUUAGCUAGUUGGUGAGGUAAAGGCUCACCAAGGCGAAGAUCUGUAGCGGGUCUGAGAGGAUGAUCCGCCACACUGGGACUGAGACACGGCCCAGACUCCUACGGGAGGCAGCAGUGGGGAAUUUUGGACAAUGGGGGCAACCCUGAUCCAGCCAUGCCGCGUGUAUGAAGAAGGCCUUAGGGUUGUAAAGUACUUUUGUUAGGGAAGAAAAGUCAGCUGUGAAUAAUGGCUGAUACUGACGGUACCUAAAGAAUAAGCACCGGCUAACUACGU
rnacentral:rRNA from 1 species